rnacentral:snRNA from 1 species
GGAUGUGAGGGCAAUCUGGCUAUGACAUCUGUCACCCCAUUGAUUGCCAGGGUUGUUUCAUCUGAUCUGGCUGGCUAGGCAGCUGUCUGCUUCCUCCUUUACCUCUCUAUGUGUGUCCCUGCAGAAGUUGUGCACUGGGUAAGGGGAUGACCAUCCCCUAUAGAGGAGGACCAGUAUUUAGUCAAGGACAUACCAGUAGCUGUGCUCCCCUGCUAGAACCUCCAAACAAGCUCUCAAGAGUAAGUAACGUACGUGUGUGUGUGUGUGUGUGUGUGUGUGUGUGUGUAUACACAUACAUGCAUACAU